AUGGGAUCCGGCAAACGCCCCCUCCCCCCCAUGUUCCGGCGAAGCAGCCGCCCCUCCAUCUCCCAGCGAGGUAGCCGCCGGCGCCGCGGGAUCCGGCAUGCACCUGCCCUUCCAUCUCCCGGCGAGGAAGCCGCCGGCACCGCAGGAUCCGGCGAGGACCCGCCCCUCCAUCUCCCGGCGAGGAAGACGCUGGAUGCCGACGCUGUUGUUCCAGGAGACUUGGCUGCUGCUGGUUCCCGCAAACAUGGCCGCGACACUCCUAUUCUAGCCAAGACCUGGCUGCUGCUGACGGUGGUCGGGGUCGAAGCAGCUCGGGGUCGUCUGUGGCCAGCAGGCCCAACUCCUCGUUGUUCUCGGCGGUGCAAACAGCUCAUCACUGCUGGCGGCAGCGGCGGCGCAGACACCUCACCACCACGCGCAGCGGCAGCGGCAGCGUGGUUGUGCUCGUGA
rnacentral:rRNA from 1 species